rnacentral:rRNA from 1 species
UACGAGGGGUCUAAGCGUUGUUCGGAAUUACUGGGCUUAAAGCGCACGUAGGCGGCAUCGUAAGUGUCGGGUGAAAUCCCACGGCUCACCCGUGGAACUGCCCGGCAGACUGCGAUGCUCGAGUGUGGUAGGGGAGAGCGGAACUCCUGGUGGAGCGGUGAAAUGCGUAGAUAUCAGGAGGAACACCGGUGGCGAAGGCGGCUCUCUGGUCCACAACUGACGCUGAGGUGCGAAAGCUAGGGGAGCAAACGGG